rnacentral:ncRNA from 1 species
GUAAAAACUAUGAUAGGAAGAGUAUGUAUAGGAUAUAGCCAAAGCGAGCUGAUGAUGGUGCAAGAUCAGUGUGAAGCCUUUACAGAAGAACAUCCUUGAGUUUCUAACCGAAAUUUUACGUAAAAGUAGGCUUAGAGGUUCCCAACACCUUAUAGUUGGUAUGUAGAUUUUUCUAUGUAGCUAAGAGGCCUUUUGGCAAAUUGGGUGGUACCGCGAAUAUAAGACUUUCGUCCCUUUA